CACUCUGCAAGGUCCAUUGUCCAUUCUGAAGCAUUAAAUAACUAGUAUAAUAGGUCAUGAGGGAAAUUCCUGGCAUCUUAAUUUAAGUAUAUUACUUUGGCUGCAAGUCAAAGUUAUCAUUAUUAGGAUUUCUGGCAUCAGAACAAUCACUUGUAAUUCUUUCUGGAAGAAUUUUCUUGGUUAAGCAAUGCUAAUGAAAUCCUACUUAAACCAGCUAUAUUCUCUGGCAAUUUCCCAUCUAUGUAUGCACUGAUAAAUACUUGGAAGAUUCUCAUUCCUCAUUGAUUUAUUGACAUAAAAUCAUUUUGGUUCACUAUUACAAUUUUCAUUUCAUCUACAAUUAACCCAUUAAAUUUAUUAUUCCAAUUAUUCUUUACUCCUGGCACCUUAUGUUACUAUAACUGUUAUUUUAUACUAUUAUUAACACCUAAAUCUAUGAUACUGAAAAGGGUAAUAAUAAAUUUACAGUAGUUAUUUCCACAUCACCUUAGUUUGGGACAUAUUAUUGUUUACAACUUUACGUUACUACAGUAAUCUUGCUGUAUAAGUAUCUGUGUACAAGUUCUUUAUUUUUUACGGAAACAUUGAAAUAUUUAUUUGGAUUUUUUUCAGAGUUGGAUUGCUGGAUCAGGAAAUAUUAAUAUUUUAAAGACAUUUAUUACCAAACCAGUAUCAAAAAUAUCACUUUGGUUGACCAUGAUACCAGCAAUGGAUACAUGUAUAUGUUUCCCUGAAAUGCUAUGAAUACUGUUUUUCUGAGGCAUGAAGAGUGAUAAAAUAGUAUCACAGUUCCAGCAAUCACACCUACCAUCAAAGCAGGAAAAGAAGAAAAGCAUAAAGCAAGAGGUUUCACUUGAAUUUUGUCAAGAAAACAAAGACUCGUCCAAAAUUUUCUUUACAUCCUGUUGGUCAAAAAUAGUUUGAACUGGCAGCUCUAACUGCACGAAAGGUUGGAAGUAGUUUAAGAGUGACCACAAUUGAGAAAAAGAACAAGGAACUGGGCAAAGUUCAGAGAUGAGCAAAAGCACUAGUUUUCAUGAAGAGUUACACACAGAAUUAAUUAUGGCCUUUUAUGAAUCAAUAAUAUGCUUGCCUAUGUUCAAUCAGGAUCACAUGAUGACUGUGCUACCUCCAUCCGUCACAUCUUUAUUCAAUCAGGAAAAGAGAGAAGAGAGGUCAUAGCAACCAUGUCUAUCCAUCUUAGUAACAAUUUAGUUUUCUGGCCUGGCGCGGUGGCUCAGGCCUGUAAUCCCAGAACUUUGGGAGGCCGAGGCGGGUGGAUCACCUGAGAUCAGGAGUUCGAGACCAGCCUGAUCAACAUGGUGAAACCCCUGUCUCUACUAAAAAUACAAAAAUUAGCCAGGCAUGGUGGCGCAUGCCUGUAAUCCCAGCUACUUGGGAGGCUGAGGUAGGAAAUCACUUGAACCCAGGAGGCAGAGGUUGCAGUGAGCUGAGACUGUGACACUGCACUCCAGCGGGGGCAAAAAGAGCAAAACUUCAUCUCAAAAAAAGAAUUUAGUUUUCUGGAGGCUACUCUCACAGACUUAUGCUUAGCAUCUGUUAUAAGGUGAAUUGUGUCCUCUUAAAAGUAACAGGUUAAAACCCUAACCCCCAGUACCUCAGAAUGUAACUCUAUUUGAAGAUAGAGGCAAUAAAGAGGUAAUUAUGGUUAAAUAAAGUCAUCUGGGUGGGCCUUCAUUCAAUCUGAGCUGUAUUCUUUAAAAAGAGGGAAAUUUGGACACGUACACAAGACACCAGAGAUAUUCACACACAGAGGAAAGACUAUGAGGGGAUGCAGGUAGAAGGCAGCCUUCUGCAAGUUAAGGAGAGAGACUUCAAAAUAAAACAAAAUAAAACCAACUCUACUGACACCUUGAUUUUGGACGUCCAGCCUCCAGAACUAUGAGAAAAUAAAUUUCUGUCAUUUAAGCAA